CUCCAAGGGGUCUUCCCAACUCAGGGAUUGUACCCGAGUGUCUUAUGUCUCCUCCACUGGCAGACGAGUUCAUUACCACUCAUGCCACCUGGGGGUCAUUAAAUGCUUUAUAGGCUCAAAAGAACUGAUGCAGUUCAAAGGAGAGGCUGAUGGAUCAGUCAGUAAUAUAGAGAAGUUUCUCUGAAAGAGGGGUGAUGGGGAGAGUUUGCAGGCAGGGAGCAGGAAGGAGGGCAUUCCUGUAGAGGAGAGGAUGCGUGAGGCAGAGGAGGAACCGCACCUGGUAAGCACUGUGAGACCAGGGGCGUGUUCACGCCGGUCACCACAGAUCCCCACCACCUGUCACAGUGCCUGCACAUAAAAGGUGCUCUCUUAAUGCUUGCUAAAUAAACAGGUGAUGUUUUGUGGGAUGUCACCAUUCUGGGGCAGCUGGCCUGUAAGGACAUACUUUGGGAAAUGGGGAAUUAAUUUGAGUUUGUAGGGUGGGGUCAUUCCCGAAGGGCAUCGGAAGCCAGGGGGAAGAAAGUCAAAGUAUCGGAGUUACUGUCACACUAAAGUUUCGCCUGUAAAGGGGAGAUAUCGAUGGACGUUUCAGAACCCAGUGCCAGCCCCCUGCCUGAGGAUCGUGACCCACGUGUUGUGGUUUCUGAAAUAUACAGGCUGUCUGUGGCGCUCUGCUUCUUCCCUCUCCUUCCCUGAGCUGGAUGACAAAUGCUGGCAGUUUGAUCAGGAUAGCUGGCCAAACGCUGGCUGUUUUUCUUCUUGGUGAUGCACUGAAGGAAUUAACCAGCUUCCAAAUGGUUCUGAUGAUUUCUUCUGCGUGGAUGACUUCCAAUUCCAUCCUGUCCUCUGAUGUUGCUCCUGAGUCCUCAUCCUGCAGACAGCUCCAUUGGUGUGUGGGUCCCUACCAGCCCCUGAAUCUCCUGCCCACACACCUACCAGACUUAUCUGAAGAUACCUUUGACCUGAAAUAUGAAAAAUUGGAUAUGCAUACACGAACAUGGUUAAGAAAUAUGUUUGUCCCAUAAAGCAACUGCAUUUUUAAUCAAUACAUAUUUUACUGAUGAUAUUACCCUGGUAUUUUAAAUUUUAAUAUUGUUGCUAUUUAGUUGCUAAGUGAUGUCUGACUCUUUUGCAGCCUUAUGGACUGUAGCUCACCAGUCUCCUCUGUCCAUGGGAUUUUUCAAGGCAAAAAUACUGGAGUGGGUUGCCAUUUCCUUCUCCAAAUAUCAUUUGUUGUUAUUAUUACUUACAUAAUUUUCAAUACUGUUAACCAAACUAAAUCUGCGGCAGAGGCAAUAAAGGUUGAUUUGCAAAGGAAUUAGGUAUUUUGGCAAUUAGUGUGCAAUUUGUUAGCUUCUAGAAUAGCAGAAAAAUGCCUCUCAUUUUACUGUAUGCCAUAUCACAUUGUUUGUUUACACAUUGCCAUAUCACAGAUUAGCAGUGAACUUAUAAAAUGUAUGAUGCACCUAAAAAGGUGUGAAGCUUAAGGAAAUUCUAUUUUGAUUUGGAUUACUGUCAUGACAUGAAAUUCUCUCAAUUUCCAAUGAAUAAUCAUUGCUUUUGCUUAUUCAAAGAUAUUUGUGUGCUCCACAUGCUGAAAUUAAGUUAUACAAGUGACUAAAGGGAAUAGAAACAGGGAUAAUUGAAAAUCAUUUACAAAUUGGGAAAGAGAUAUAUCUUUUAUUGAGUUAAAAUACUUGAACUUUGUGAUUUGAGAUUUAUUUUAGAAUUUAGCUUACUUUUUGCACAUUGGAAAAGUAUCUUAAGUUCAUUGCCUUGUGAUAGCAGAAAGACUAUUUUAUACCCCUCCAUUUAGCAGCAGCAAGAUGGUAUGAGUGUAAAAACUCACUUGUGCGUAAGAGGUACAUUUGAGGAGGCAAAAUAUACAUUGUUAUUAAAAACUCAAAUUUCAGCUCUGAAACUGCAUAGACUUCAGUUCAGGUUCAGUACUACCACUUACUAACUGUGAAAUUGGAAAGUUAUUUGAUUUCUUUAAACUUCAGUUUCCUCUUCUAUAAAAAUGAAAAUAAACACUUCUCAUAUGGUUGUUAUAAGAAUAACUAAGAUGCUUAAAUUACUUAAUAAUCGUUGAAAUUAAUGACAGCUUUUACUGAUAUUUUGAAGAGAUUUAAGUGUACCAAGGAAUAGCAAAAUCUCAUGCAUCAAUUCAAAGAUUACUUAAGUGUUCUAAAGAAAGAUCAUGUCUUUUUUUUUUUUUUAAUAAAGGAGCAUUUUAAAAAACUUUUUUUGUAUUGGGGUAUAGACGGUUAAUAAGCAAUGUUGUAAUAGUUUCAGGUGAACAGUAAAGGGACUCAGUCAUACUUGUAUAUGUCUCCAUUCUCUUCCAAACUCUCCUCCCAUCCAGAGUGCCACAUAACACUGAGCGGAGUUUCCCGUGCUAUACAGUAGGUACUUGUUUGUUAUCUAUUUUAAAUAUAGCAGUGUGUACAUGCCCAUCCCAAACUCCCUAACUAUCAAUAAAGGAACAUUUUGCUCUGCAUAUAAUAUUUAUGGUAUUUGCUAAAGCCAGGAACAUAAUCAAAGAAUCUACACACAAUCCAUAUUUAUCAUUUCAUAACACAGGAUGAACUUUUAUAAACUUUUUUGUAUUUUUAUUUAUGAGAAUAAGAAUUAAGGUGUGAGGAUUUAGGGAAGUUAAUUCUAUUCCUCUGGUUUUCCCUUUUCCUUUUAAGUUUGGUACUUAGCAAAAAUCAUAUACAGCCAGGUUGAAUUGGGUAACUUGUAAAAUUGUCACAACUACAGAAAUCAUAAAAUAUAUUGUAUCUAUUUGCAGAAAAUGUGUGGUAUUAGUCCAGUUGGCCUGAGAGAGUAAAAAUGGCAGCAGUAAAUUAAACAUGUGG
rnacentral:lncRNA from 1 species